AACAGGCCCUUAGUUUACCCAUCCAUUUUGACCGCCACGGUAACGCCGCCGUUUCAAACCUGCCGUUACCAAGCAAGGGUUACCAAAUGGGGACGCCAAUAGCCACCGCAGGCGGCGGGGGCUGCCGCCACGUGGUGGUGGAGCUGCCGUUAGGGAAUGCGGCUGCGACGUUUGAUCUCGAGAAGGCGGUGUGCAGCCACGGGCUGUUCAUGAUGGCCCCCAACCAGUGGGACUCCCAAUCGAAAACCCUAACGCGCCCGCUUCGACUCGAUCCUGGUGACUAUUGCGGCAAUGGCGGCUCCGUUCUCGUACGCAUCUCUCAGCCAUCUCAGUCCCCUCGUUCUGUCCUUCAUCUCAGUGUUCUGGACGCCGAUUCUCUCUCACUUCAGCACCAACAAUCGUUACUGGCUCAAGUGAGGCGAAUGCUGAGGUUGUCGGAGAUGGAAGAGGAGAUUGUUAAGGAGUUUCAGGAGAUGCAUGGAGAGGCUAAGGAAAGAGGCUUCGGGAGAGUGUUUAGGUCUCCAACAUUGUUCGAGGACAUGGUCAAGUGCAUCCUACUCUGCAACUGCCAAUGGUCUCGGACAUUGAGCAUGGCGAGAGAUCUUUGUGAGCUUCAAUUGGAACUGCAGUGCCCAGCAUUUGGUGUAUCAUUUGAUAAAGUUGAUGAUGGUGCAAAUUUGAGAAACCCAACAGUUGUGACUGAGCAUUUUACUCCAAAGACACCUGCAGGAAAAGACUCAAAGAAGAAGAUUGGAGGAAAAAGGCACCCCUCUAAUUUAGUCACCAGGUUCUGGAACACCAGAGCACAAAUGGAAGUAGAAAACGAGACAAAUACAGGGUCUGCAGAUUGCUCACAAGAAACUGCAAAAUUAUCUCCAUCCAGUGCAGAAGAGGACUUGCCUCAUUGCUGCAAUGCUCAUCAGACUACUUCUGAAAUUUGUAAAGCUUAUUCAACUGAAAUAGAUAGACCUAAUUCGUGUUUGCUUUCUGAUCUUCAGUCCUCUGAAGGCGUAGAUUCUCUCUCCUCCACUAGGAUUGGGAAUUUCCCUAGUCCAAGGGAACUAGCUAGCCUUGAUGAGAAGUUUCUGGCUAAGCGCUGCAGUCUUGGUUAUAGAGCAGGUCGCAUAUUGAAGCUUGCACAGGGUAUUGUUGAAGGCAGAGUUCAACUGAGACAACUUGAAGAAGCUUGUGGUGAAACAAGCUUGUCGAAUUACAGCAAGCUGGAUGAGCAACUAAAACAAAUUGAUGGAUUUGGCCCUUUUACGUGUGCCAAUGUGCUCAUGUGCAUGGGAUUUUACCAUGUGAUCCCAGUUGAUUCUGAAACUAUUCGGCACUUAAAACAGGUUCAUGUGAGAAAUUCUACCCCUCAAAAAGUUCAAAGAGAUAUUGAUAAAAUAUAUGGGAAGUACAAACCUUUUCAGUUCUUGGCAUACUGGUCAGAAGUAUGGCAUUUCUACGAGGAAUGGUUUGGAAAGCUAAGUGAAAUGCCCCCUGCUAAUUAUAAACUUAUUACUGCUGCUAAUAUGAAGCGUAGAACACCCAAGUCAAAAGAAAAAAGAAACAAAAUGAGGCACGGAAACAGUGCCCAAACUAAGAGGACCAAGUAUCUCAAUAGAGAGUCUCCUAUUUAAACAAGUUCUCUUGUAGGAUUUUGCAACGAUCAGGUCAGAGCCCAAGGUGAAUGGUUACUCUAAGUGUGACUUGUUGACCAAUGCUCUCUCUUUGGAUUGAACAGACAAGACACUAAUUCCUUUUGAGACAAGGUUAGUUUUCUCUCCGCACUUGGCACACUAUUUCAAAAAUUCUUAGAUCUUCUAGUUUACUAGCUUAUCAUGAUGGUGCCAAUAUUGAUCUAUUGUUGUCUCCCUUAGGGCCAAUUUGUCUUUCUUGUAUAUCUAAAUAGAUGCAUGUCCUACGAGGGGAAGACCCUUGAAAGAUAGAUACAUGCCUUUCAUGUUUAUUGGU